AGCCUUAGCUCAGUGGAACAGCUUCUGCUUUGCACACAGAAGGUUCCAGGUUCAAUCCCUGGCGUGUCUA